rnacentral:rRNA from 1 species
GACGAACGCUGGCGGCGUGCCUAAUACAUGCAAGUCGAACGCAGUGGGGACGGGUGAGUAACACGUGGGUAACCUCCCAUCAGAGGGGAUAACACUUGGAAACAGGUGCUAAACCGAUACUGAUGGAUGGACCCGGGGUGCAUUAGCUAGUUGGUGAGGUAACGGCUCACCAAGGCCACGAUGCAUAGCAGAACUGAGAGGAUGAUCGGCCAACCUGGGACGGGGACACGGCCCAGACUCACACGGGAGGCAGCAGUAGGGAAUCUGCGGCAAUGAGCGGAAGUCUGACCGAGAAACGCCGCGAGAGUGAAGAAGGUUUUCGGAGCGUACAACUCUGUUGUUAGAGAAGCGGUAUCUAACCAGAAAGCGACGGCUAACUACGUGCCAGCAGCCGCGGUAAUUC